rnacentral:misc_RNA from 1 species
UGCUCGACGAAGCGUUCCGCGAGAAGAUCCACGCGCGUCAGGCCGGCUGGCGCACCGCCGUACAGGCCGCCAUCCAGCUCGGUGUUCCGGUCCCGGCGAUGAGCGCGUCGCUCGCCUACUUCGAUUCGUACCGGACCGAGCGGUUGCCAGCCAAUCUCACGCAGGCGCAGCGCGAUUUCUUCGGCGCCCACACCUACCGGCGCGUCGACCGCGACGGCGCGUUUCACACCGACUGGACCCCAGAGGCAUGAGCAUCGGAUUCGACAUUCCCAGGGCUGGCGCGCUCGACUUUCUCUCGCUCGGCGCGAUCGUGCAUCGGCUCGACCCCGGCCUCGUGCCCUUUCGCAAGGCCACGCGGUGCACGAUUCACGUGAGCGGCGGCGAGUUCAACACGGCCGCCAACCUGUCGGAUUGCUUCCGCCUGCGCACGGGCGUGGCGUCGGCGAUGGUCGACUACCCCAUCGGCGACCUGAUCUCCGAGCGCGUGCGGGCGAUGGGCGUCCGGCCUUUCUACAAGCACUUCGUCCACGACGGCGCGCGCGGCCCCAACAUGGCGACGGUCUACAGCGACCUCGGCUAUGGCGUGCGCGGCCCGGUGGUCUUCUACAACCGCAGCAACGAGGCCGCGGCGCUGCUCAAGCCGGGCGACUUCGACUGGGCGGCCAUCUUCGGCGCCGGCGUGCGGUGGUUCCACAGCGGCGGCAUCUUCUCUGCGCUUUCGGAGACGACAGCCGAGCUGAUCAUCGAGGCGAUGAAAGCCGCCAAGGCCCACGGCGCCGUCACCUCGUUUGACCUCAACUUCCGCGAAAAGCUCUGGCAGCUUUCGGGCGGCGUCGCGCGCGCCCAGGCCGUGCUCUCGCGCAUCGUCGAGCACGUCGAUGUGCUGGUCGGCAACGAAGAGGACCUCCAGAAAGGACUUGGGAUCCAGGGGCCCGACGUGACGGAGUCGUCGAAACUCGACUCGAGCGUGUUCACGGGGAUGAUCGAGAACGCCGUCGCGAAGUUUCCCUGAGGAUGCAUGCACAGAUGCGCUACCGGUAGUACUAGAGUAGCACUCUCCGUAGGUGAACCUGCGGAAGGAUCAUUAACACUAAUCCAACACAACUCAACCAAGCCUUCAGUUGCAGCAGUAGCGCUUGCCUUGUGCAGUGCCGCUGGUGCAGCCCACACAAACCUAAUCACGCAAAGGAGCCUAACUAAGCUCAUUUAAAAAACCAAAUUCUCAACGAUGGAUAUCUUGGUUCCCAUAACGAUGAAGAACGCAGCGAAGUGCGAUAAGCAAUGCGAAUUGCAGAACCGUGAGUCAUCAGAUUUUUGAACGCAACUGGCGCCGGCUGGCUCUCCAGCCGGCAUGCUUGUUUCAGUGUCUCUUUACCUCAUCACCCAGAUCAUAAUGCGAGAGAUGCCCUUCUCUUGCCAAGCUCGAAAGCACUCUGCGCUCUGCGAGCGUUCACGAUUUCGGUCGGCGAACGCACUCAAUGCAGCGGUCACAUUGCUCACAAUGUGAACUCAUUGAGAGCUGAGGCAGUGCAGCGUAAGCUGCCAGUGCUUAGUCACACAAACUUUACUUGCAUCUGAAAUCAAGCAGGAUCACCCGCUGAACUUAAGCAUAUCAAUAAGCGGAGGAGAAGAAAUUAACUAAGAUUGCCCUAGUAGCGGCGAGCGAAGCGGCAGGAGCCCAAACUGGAAAUCUUGCGCACCACGUGCGUACGAAUUGUAAUCUAAAGGAUGUCCGCUCAACGGGAGGUGGCGCAGAAGUGCCUUCGAACGGGCCGCCAGAGAGGGUGCCAGCCCCGUAUGUGGUGCCACCGCCUAACGAGUGGGUGUUCAACGAGUCGGGUUGUUUUGUAUUGCAGCCCUAAGUGGGAGAUAGACUUCUUCUAAGGCUAAAUAUAUAUGGGAAACCGAUAGCGAACAAGUACUGUGAAGGAAAGAUGAAAAGAACUUUGAAAAGAGAGUCAAAAGACUUGAAAUCGUUGAGAAGGAAGCGGUAGAAAUUUAUUCUUCGGCGCAGGUCGGUGUUAGUUGCCUAACCAUUGCCGGUUGUCAGCACUGAAUAAGGCUGCGGCUGGUACAUGGGGAAGCGGCUAGCUUGACCUGCGUCGUGAGGCAAAAUGGGGUCGCGCAACCGCAGAGGCUCUCCACGACCGGUCUGGUUCGCCAGGCAGCGUGGGGUGUGCCGGCGGGGGUGCGGCCCGAGGGUGCUUCGUGCGAUUUUGCCAAAAUGGUUUUUACCGACCCGUCUUGAAACACGGACCAAGGAGUCUAACAUAUAUGCGAGUGUGCUGGUGGAGAAACCAACACGCGUAAUGAAGGUGAGCGAUGCCAAGCCGCAAGGUGGCAGCAUCGACCGACCAUGAUCCUCUGGUGAAAGGUUUGAGUACGAGCAUAUCUGUUAGGACCCGAAAGAUGGUGAACUAUGCCUGAGUAGGGUGAAGCCAGGGGAAACUCUGGUGGAGGCUCGUAGCGGUACUGACGUGCAAAUCGUUCGUCAAACUUGGGUAUAGGGGCGAAAGACUAAUCGAACCAUCUAGUAGCUGGUUCCCUC